UCCAGGUGUGCGCGUUCUCCAGGUGAGUGCGUGUGUGUAUGUGUGUGCGUGUUCUCCAAGUGAGCGCAUGUGUGUGUGCGUGUUCUCCAGGUGAGUGUGUGUGUGUAUGUGUGUGCGUGUUCUCCAGGUGAGUGUGUGUGUGUAUGUGUGUGCGUGUUCUCCAGGUGAGUGCGUGUGUGUGUGCGUGUUCUCCAGGUGAGUGCGUGUGUGUAUGUGUGUGCGUGUUCUCCAGGUGAGUGCGUGUGUGUAUGUGUGUGCGUGUUCUCCAGGUGAGUGCGUGUGUGUAUGUGUGUGCGUGUUCUCCAGGUGAGUGUGUGUGUGUAUGUGUGUGCGUGUUCUCCAGGUGAGUGCGUGUGUGUAUGCAUGUUCUCCAGGUGAGUGCGUGUGUAUGCGUGUUCUCCAGGUUUGCGCAUGUGCGUGUU